rnacentral:rRNA from 1 species
GACGAACGCUGGCGGCGUGCUUAACACAUGCAAGUCGAACGGAAAGGCCCUGCAGUUGUGGUGUGCUCGAGUUGCUAACGAGUGGGUAACACGUGAGUAACCUGCCCUUGCCUUUGGGAUAACUUCAAGAAACUGGGGCUAAUACCUGAUAGGAGCUCCUUCUUCAUGGUGUGGGUUGGAAAGUUGCGGCGGUUGGGGAUGGUCUCGCGGCUUAUCAGCUUGUUGGUGGGGUAGUGUCUUACCAAGGCGUUGACGGGUAGCCGGACUGAGAGGGUGACCGGCCACAUUGGGACUGAGAAAGGGGCCAGAGUGCUACGGGAGGAAGGAGUGGGGAACAGUGCAAACAGGGCGGAAGGAGGAUGGACCAACGUCGGGUGGGAGAUGACUGCCUUUGGGGGGUAAACCGCUUUCGGCGGUGACGAAGAGGGAUUGACGGUAACGGGUAAAGAAGCAACGGCUAACUACGUG